rnacentral:rRNA from 1 species
GUGGGGAAUAUUGGGCAAUGGGCGAAAGCCUGACCCAGCAACGCCGCGUGAAGGAAGAAGGUCUUCGGAUCGUAAACUUCUAUCCUUGGUGAAGAUAAUGACGGUAGCCGAGAAGGAAGCCCCGGCUAACUACGUGCCAGCAGCCGCGGUAAUACGUAGGGGGCAAGCGUUGUCCGGAAUGAUUGGGCGUAAAGGGCGCGUAGGCGGCCUGGUAAGUCUGGAGUGAAAGUCCUGCUUUUAAGGUGGGAAUUGCUUUGGAUACUGUCGUGCUUGAGUGCAGGAGAGGUAAGUGGAAUUCCCGGUGUAGCGGUGAAAUGCGUAGAGAUCGGGAGGAACACCAGUGGCGAAGGCGACUUACUGGACUGUAACUGACGCUGAGGCGCGAAAGUGUGGGGAGCAAACAGGAUUAGAAACCCCAGUAGUCC